rnacentral:tRNA from 1 species
GCCCUCGUAGCUCAACGGUAGAGCGCGCUUCUGAAAAGAGCGAGACGGAGGUCCAACUCCUCCCAAGGGCA